rnacentral:antisense_RNA from 1 species
CUUCAGCGAGCCCAGCCACAGCGGAUCGCCGCCGUCGCGGUCCUUGCCGUAGGUGGCGAGGAGCGCCCCGGCCUC